rnacentral:rRNA from 1 species
UGGGGAAUAUUGCACAAUGGGGGAAACCCUGAUGCAGCGACGCCGCGUGAGCGAAGAAGUAUUUCGGUAUGUAAAGCUCUAUCAGCAGGGAAGAAAAUGACGGUACCUGACUAAGAAGCCCCGGUUAACUACGUGCCAGCAGCCGCGGUAAUACGUAGGGGGCAAGCGUUAUCCGGAUUUACUGGGUGUAAAGGGAGCGUAGACGGCAUUGCAAGUCUGAUGUGAAAGCCCGGGGCUCAACCCCGUGCCUGCAUUGGAAACUGUGAGGCUGGAGUGUCGGAGAGGUAAGCGGAAUUCCUAGUGUAGCGGUGAAAUGCGUAGAUAUUAGGAGGAACACCAGUGGCGAAGGCGGCUUACUGGACGAUCACUGACGUUGAGGCUCGAAAGCGUGGGGAGCAAACAG